UCAUUAAUACAAUCAAGAACACCGUCCGCGGUAAUUGAGAAUUCUGUUGUUCUUUGAGAAUCUCGC
rnacentral:sRNA from 1 species